GGUCUCGAGCCCUGCCGCGCGGGAGGCGGCUGAGGCCCCGUGAGAAUUCGAGCGCCGCAGGGGCAGGCUGGCAGUGCUGGGGGACCCGGUGCACUCUCCGCAACUGCUGGCUCGGGUGCUAAGCCCCUCACUGCCUCGGGCCAGCGGUGCCGACCCGCUGCUCCAAGUGCGGGGCGGGCGGAGCCCGCGCCCACCUGGAACUCGCGCGGGCCCGCCAACGCCAAGCGCAGCCCCGGUUCCCGCCCGCGCCUCUCCCUCCACACCUCCCCGCAAGCAGAGGGAGCCGGCUCCGGCCUUGGCCAGCCCAGAGACAGGCUCCCACAGUGCAGCGGCGGGCUGAAGGGCUCCUCAAGCACUGCCAGAGUGGACGCCGAGGCCGAGGAGACGCCAAGAGCGAUGAAACAAGCUUCUGGUUCAAGGGUUUCUUCAGGUUCCACUACGGGCUGUUCUUCUGCAGGUGCACCGAUGUCCACAGUGCUACCUUCUGAUGAGCUACUGCUUUCAUUCAGUUUCUGCUGACUUAAUAUGUGAGCUGACAGAAUGCAGAGACCACGUUGUAUAUGAAGCAUCCACUUUGCCUUAUACACCAGGGCAUUCAAUAACCACUUAAUAACUACAACCCUGAUGAUCCGAUUCACUACUAAAGUCUUCCGUGUUUAAAUUUUCAAAGUCAGAUUCUCCUACAGCAAUUGGAGUGAUGGUGAGGAGGAAUUGUGCCAGCUUGCUUCUUCACUGCCAUUUUGGAACCAGAACUCAGAACCUGAGAAAGAUGAAUGAAAUUUAGUGUUUCCCAUCCCUGAGAGACACCCAGCAUCCACAACUUCACACUCUGAUGCCAUUGUGUAUUUAUGCGAGGAAUACCAUAACUAAGGACUCAUGGUUGUAUGGCAGACGCACCUGACAGCAAUAAUUUAAGGGUACCCUGAGAAUGACGCUGUGGUCUAAAAAGAAUAUGUGUUUGGAAGUCUGAGGUAGAGUGUUGCGUAAAGGAAACAAUGAUGUCCAAAGGGGCUGGACUGGCAGAUUGGAGAUGAGGUCUCGCUAUGUUGCCUAGGCUAGUCUUGAACUCCUGGCCUCAAAUGAUCCUUCUGCUUCAGCAUCGGGAGUCACUGGGAUUAAAGGCAUGAGCCACCAUGCUCAGAGUCUCGCUCUGUCGCCCAGGCUGGAGUUCAGUGGUGUGAAUUCCGCUCACUGCAAGCUCCGCCUCCCUGGUUCAAACAAUUCUCUGCUUCAGCUUCCCGAGUAGCUGGAAUUACAGGCACCCACCACCACACCCAGCUAAUUUUUGUAUUUUUAGUAGAGACAGGGUUUCACCAUGUUGGCCAGGCUGGUCUUGAACUCCUGACCUCGUGAUCCACCCACCUUGGCCUCCCAAAGUGCUGGGAUUACAGGCGUGAGCCACUGCGCCCAGCCUGAAAGAUCAUGUUUUUUAUAAGAACAUAUACAUGUAUAGAUAUGCAAAUACCUUCUUAAAGCACAGAAUACAAACAAAGACCCAUUUUCUAGAAGAAGUAACAGGGAAGAGAGAGUAAGAAAGAGAUAAUGAUGAACAUUGUCUAAUGUUACAGCAUAAUCUAGUAAGAUACAGUUUUUCACAAAUUGAAAGUUUGUGGCAACCCUACAUCCAGCAAGUCAAUUUUGGUGCCAUUUUUCCAACAGCAUGUGCUCACUUCGUGUAUCUGUGUCACAUUUUGGUAAUUCUUGCAAUAUUUCAAACUUUUUCACUAUUAUUAUAUCUGUUAUGGUGACCUGUGAUCAGUAAUAUUUAAUGUCACUUUAGUAAUUGCUUGGGGAUGGCAAGAACUGCACCCAAAUAAGAGUGAACUUAAUUGGUGUUACGUCUGCUCUGACUGCUCCACCAACAUGCUGUUCCCGUCUCUCUUCCUCUCCUUGGGCUUCCCAGUUCCUUGAGACACAAGAAUAUUGAAAUUAUUCCAAUCAAUAACCCUACAAUGUGGGUGGUGGGGAGGUGGGAAUGAUUAAUGGGUAUAAAAAUGUAGUUAGAUAGAAUAAGAUCCAGAAAUGUCGUUAAAUAGAAUAAGAUCUAGUAACACAACAGUUAUCACAGUCAACAAUUUAUUCUAUAUUGAAAAAUAGCUAAAAGAGUAUAAUUGGAAUGUUUGUAACACAAAGUAAUGAUAAAUGCUUGAGGGGACACAUACCCCAUUUACUCUCAUGUGAUUAUUGCAUAUGAUACGCCUGUAUCAAAACAUCUCAUGUAACCCAUAAAGGUAUACACCUACUAUGUAGCCAUACAAAUAAAAAAAACUUUUUUUUAAUCCCU